rnacentral:lncRNA from 13 species
GGAUGACUGUCUCCAGAAAGGGAAGUGGGUGGGGUGCUUUAAGAGUCUCGCGCAAAAACAGCCCUCAUAUCAUAUAGUCGUCCCCAGGCAGCAAAGCACACAUGCUUUUGGGACGAGCGAACCUCACAGCGCACGAAGUUGGACCAAACCGGACUCCUGUAAAGGAUAAAGACUUGUCACCUCUCAAGAACUCAGGUUGUGUGAGGGGAGGAAGUUGUGAAGUCACCCGGAGGAGAAGCAGUUACUGUUGGGUUACAGACCCGGAGUAAGGCUUGGCUCGGUACACCAGAAGGAACCAAGCCUUCUUUCAGAG